GCCUGUGUUCAACAAUUUAUUUCUCAAAUCUAACCAUUGAAAAAUCAUCAAAUUUUAACCAUAACUUCUAUACAUAUAUAGACCUUCAACAUAUUCAAAACUCAACAAUAAAAGAUGAAGCAAACUUAUCUAAACAGAAGGCAAAGCUGCUGCCCCCUGCAGAGUCUUGCUUCUGCCACUUUUCACCUUCUUCUCCAUUUCUCUCUCUCA
rnacentral:misc_RNA from 1 species